rnacentral:rRNA from 1 species
GACGAACGCUGGCGGCGUGCUUAACACAUGCAAGUCGAACGGGCCCGCCCCUGUUUUUGGGGGUGGGUUGAGUGGCGAACGGGUGAGUAUCACGUGAGUAACCUGCCCCCUGCUCCUGGAUAACUGCUUGAAAGGGCGGCUAAUACGGGGUGUGCCGGCUGGUCCGCAUGGGCCUGGUCGGGAUAGUUUCAUCUUCGGGUGUUUCGGUGGGGGAUGGGCUCGCGGCCUAUCAGCUUGUUGGUGGGGUGAUGGCCCACCAAGGCGGUGACGGGUAGCCGGCCUGAGAGGGUGGGCGGCCACACUGGGACUGAGACACGGCCCAGACUCCUGCGGGAGGCAGCAGUGGGGGGUAGUGCACAAUGGGCGGAAGCCGGAUGCAGCGACGUCGCGUGAGGGAUGGAGGCCGUCGGGUGGGGAACCUCUUUCUCCGGUGGGGAAGGCCCUGUCCGUUGCGGCGGGGUUGACGGUAGCCGGGUAUGAAGCGCCGGCUAACUACGUG